rnacentral:rRNA from 1 species
AAAAUACGGGAGGCAGCAGUGGGGAAUCUUGCACAAUGGGCGAAAGCCUGAUGCAGCGACGCCGCGUGCGGGACGAAGGCCUUCGGGUUGUAAACCGCUUUCAGCAGGGACGAGGCGAAAGUGACGGUACCUGCAGAAGAAGCCCCGGCUAACUACGUGCCAGCAGCCGCGGUAAUUUUU